rnacentral:pre_miRNA from 1 species
AAGAUACUCCCUUUCUCUGAAAAUACUUGUCGAAGAAAUAUAUGUAUCUAGACAUAUUUUAGUUUUAAAUGCAUCUAUUUUUAUCAAUUUCUCCGACAAGUAUUUCGGGAUGGAGAGAGUAGAUG